GGCUCGGUAGCUCAGUUGGUAAGGUGUUUAUCUAUCGUAUAAGGGUCGAGAGUUCAAAUCUCACCUGAGCUG
rnacentral:tRNA from 1 species